UAGCAUUACCAGCCCAGGAAUGGAGGUUGUUCACAGCAGGACAACACACUGGAUCUGUCCAAGAAGGGCGCAGUAGGGACAAGGUCCUAGUAGUCUCCAAAGCUCCUACCAACAACCCUUUCCUUCCGUACUAGGCUGGAGGAAGAAGGAACCAGCUAGAACAGUGCAUUCAUGUAUCCUCAGUCCUGUGAUGUUUGCAUCAGUAUGGCCAGUCUAUACAAGUCCAGCUGGCUUCUUUCUUGUCUUUCCUGGCCCAGACCAAGCAAGGUCUAUAAUAUGGGUUUUGUGGUCUCUCAUCCUUUGGAGGUACUGUUCCCCUAUGGACUAAAUGUGUGUAGGGGACAACACACAGGUGAACACCUUUGAUCCCGGACAUUACACAAGGGAUGGAUUAUGUCCCAGUUAUCAAAGUGCUUUUUCCAAAGUUAGCUGAAUUCUCCAGUGUUGCCAUUUUUCCUUCAUCCCAAAACCAAAGAAAAAGGACAUACUUCAUCCACUGAAAGACAAGGACAAGCUGAGGCCUUGCGAUGGAAGCAUGUAUUCACUUAAAACUCAAGGGCCAUUACUUUCCGUUAUAUGUCAGAAACAUCUGGCUGGCCAUCAUGGGAACCAGAUGCUGAACCAGAUGGACCUUUGGUCUGUUCCAGCAGGGCUGCUCUUAUGCUCUCAUGAAAAAAAGAUUCAAGAAAGGCUUGCAUGUAUCAGGAAUGUCGAAUAUAAUUAAAAACAAGAUUGCACAAAUUACUAUUUACAUACAAUUCUUAUUGCUUUGCUUUUAUAACUUUAAUGCAGUUAAAAUUAUGGAUCAGGAAUCAUUACCACUCUAAUGUGUCUGUUUAUUUUCUUCAUUCGUCAUAU